GCUUCCCGCCAUUGGUUAGGCCGGAGGCGGGUUUAUUCAAGUCAACUCGUGCGCCGAGCGCUCCGUUUCCGGUGAGCGGUGAAACGUUUGCCAUUGUUAACGUGGAGCUAAGCUAGCCGGGCGCUCGACGGCGAGCGGCCGCCAGAACGCGCCGACUGUGGCAGUCCUCUCCGCUGUCGCAAGAAGAGAUGAGUCGCCACGAGGCCCCGAGGAGCUGACGGGUGUAACGGGGGAAAUUGUAGGCAUCAGUAUGGCCAGCUGCAAGCCGAACUCCGGGCUUGUCGCCUGUCCCGCGGGCGAGCCCCCCCCCCCAUUGCUGCCGGGCCCGGCAACACUGGCGUCAUGACCGCACGGGCUGCUGAAGAUCAACGCCCGACGUCGCAUCACCGGCACGUCCGGGCGGAGGACGGCGGCGGGCGUUUGGAGCCGCAGGCGUGGGCUUUCCCGAGUGGCCCUCUUCCCCGGCGGAGCUUCGCUGGGAUCUCGUCGCCGUGGGGGGUGAGAAAGCGUGUGUGUGCGCUCAGGUCAUCGAUGGCGGAGGUGUGUUCAUUGUGAAAGUCUUCGUUUUCGUCUGCCCUUCAUACUUGUUCAAAGCUUCCUAGCUGGAGAAGUGGACGGUGCGCUUUGUGUGGCCAAAACGUCGCAGGGUCAUUCUGGCCAGGCAGGAAGCUCGUUCAUGCCGUCUCCACCGCCGCCAUCUUUGUCGAAGGAGCCCAGCGAGCCGAGCCGCACCCGCCAGCACCUCGGAGGAGAGCCGCUCGCUCCCGAGAAGGCCGGCGUCUGGCCGCAAGUGUCCUUUCGGCUCAGUCAGUACGGGGGCCGCCGCCCGUGCGGGGCCCAGUGAGUGACUUGUACAAUAAAAGGAGCCGUCCGCCGCUCAUCUAUCUGCGUUGCG